CACGGGGGAGCAAGCGUUGUUCGGAAUCACUGGGCGUAAAGGGCGUCUAGGCGGUCAGAUAAGUGGGAUGUGAAAUGCCCCGGCUCACCCGGGGACCGGCAUCCCAAACUGUCUGGCUUGAGUAUGGGAGAGGAUGUGGGAAUUCCUGGUGUAGCGGUGAAAUGCGUAGAUAUCAGGAGGAACACCGGUGGCGAAGGCGCACAUCGUGGCCCAAUACUGACGCUAAAGCGCGAAAGCUAGGGAGCAAACGGG
rnacentral:rRNA from 1 species